GCUUAACACAUGCAAGUCGAGCGGUAAGGCCCCUUCGGGGGUACACGAGCGGCGAACGGGUGAGUAACACGUGAGCAAUCUGCCCUUCACACGGGGAUAACCACCGGAAACGGUGGCUAAUACCCGAUACGACCACUUCAGGCAUCUGAUGGUGGUGGAAAGUUCCGGCGGUGGAGGAUGAGCUCGCGGCCUAUCAGCUUGUUGGUGGGGUAAUGGCCUACCAAGGCAACGACGGGUAGCCGGCCUGAGAGGGUGACCGGCCACACUGGGACUGAGACACGGCCCAGACUCCUACGGGAGGCAGCAGUGGGGAAUAUUGGACAAUGGGCGAAAGCCUGAUCCAGCAACGCCGCGUGAGGGAUGACGGCCUUCGGGUUGUAAACCUCUUUCAGCAGGGACGAAGCGCAAGUGACGGUACCUGCAGAAGAAGCACCGGCCAACUACGUGCCAGCAGCCGCGGUAAUACGUAGGGUGCGAGCGUUGUCCGGAAUUAUUGGGCGUAAAGGGCUCGUAGGCGGUUUGUCGCGUCGGGAGUGAAAACUCAGGGCUUAACCCUGAGCCUGCUUCCGAUACGGGCAGACUAGAGGUAUGCAGGGGAGAACGGAAUUCCUGGUGUAGCGGUGAAAUGCGCAGAUAUCAGGAGGAACACCGGUGGCGAAGGCGGUUCUCUGGGCAUUACCUGACGCUGAGGAGCGAAAGUGUGGGGAGCGAACAGG
rnacentral:rRNA from 1 species